GACAGAGGAUGCAAGCGUUAUCCGGAAUGAUUGGGCGUAAAGAGCUUGUAGGCGGUUUGUCGCGUCUGCCGUGAAAAUCCGGGGCUCAACCCCGGACUUGCGGUGGGUACGGGCAGACUAGAGUGUGGUAGGGGAGACUGGAAUUCCUGGUGUAGCGGUGAAAUGCGCAGAUAUCAGGAGGAACACCGAUGGCGAAGGCAGGUCUCUGGGCCACUACUGACGCUGAGAAGCGAAAGCGUGGGGAGCGAACAGG
rnacentral:rRNA from 1 species